rnacentral:rRNA from 1 species
CGGCCAGCUCCGGGGCAGCGGGCGCGGUAAGACGGAGGGUGGAAGCGUUAAGCGGAAUUACUGGGCGUAAAGCGUGCGCAGGCGGCUUAUUAAGUCAGAUGUGAAAUCCCUAGGCUCAACCUAGGAACUGCAUUUGAAACUAAUAAACUAGAGUAUCGUAGAGGGAGGUAGAAUUCCAGGUGUAGCGGUGAAAUGCGUAGAUAUCUGGAGGAAUACCAGUGGCGAAGGCGACCUCCUGGACGAAAACUGACGCUCAAGCACGAAAGCAUGGGGAGCAAACAGGAUUAGAUACCCCGGAGUC